AACGCGUAUGCAACCUGCCCCCAUCAGGGGAAUAGCCCGCCGAAAGGCGGAUUAAUGCCCCAUAGGCCCAGGGCGCCGCAUGGCGCUAUGGGUAAAGCUCCGGCGGAUGGGGAUGGGCAUGCGUGCCAUUAGCUAGUUGGGGCGGUAACGGCGCACCAAGGCGACGAUGGCUAGGGGGUCUGAGAGGAUGGUCCCCCACACUGGUACUGAGACACGGACCAGACUCCUACGGGAGGCAGCAGUGAGGAAUAUUGGUCAAUGGGCGGAAGCCUGAACCAGCCAUUGCCGCGUGCAGGAUGACGGCCCUACGGGUUGUAAACUGCUUUUCCCCGGGAAGAAUAAGCCCCUCGUGAGGGGUGAUGCCGGUACCGGGGGAAUAAGGAUCGGCUAACUCCGUGCCAGCAGCUGC
rnacentral:rRNA from 1 species